AACGAACGCUGGCGGCGUGCCUAACACAUGCAAGUCGAACGAGAAAGGGGCUUCGGCUCCGAGUAAAGUGGCGCACGGGUGAGUAACACGUGGGUAACCUGCCUCUAAGAUUGGGACAACUCGUCGAAAGAUGAGCUAAUACCGAAUAAGACCACAGUUCCUGCGGGAACAGCGGUCAAAGGUAGCCUCUGCUUGCAAGCUAUCACUUAGAGAUGGGCCUGCGCACCAUUAGCUAGUUGGUAGGGUAACGGCCUACCAAGGCAAAGAUGGUUAGCUGGUCUGAGAGGAUGAUCAGCCACACUGGAACUGAGACACGGUCCAGACUCCUACGGGAGGCAGCAGUGGGGAAUAUUGCGCAAUGGGCGAAAGCCUGACGCAGCGACGCCGCGUGGAGGAUGAAGGUCUUAGGAUUGUAAACUCCUGUCAGAUGGAAAGAAAAGUUUGUGUUUAAUAGACACAAAAUAUGACGGUACCAUCAGAGGAAGCACCGGCUAACUUCGUGC
rnacentral:rRNA from 1 species